rnacentral:tRNA from 1 species
AGGCUUGUAGCUCAGGUGGUUAGAGCGCACCCCUGAUAAGGGUGAGGUCGGUGGGUCAAGGCCACUCAGGCCUA